UGUAAAUGGGAUAGCUUUGUUUUUUGAGAUGUUUCAGUAUUAGUGUAUAGACAUGGAAACUGAUUCUGUAUGCUAAUUUUUAUCCUGUAACUUUGAGUUUUUUUGUCCUUCAAGCUGAAGUGAGUCUCUGGUAGGCAGCAUAUAGUUGGGGUUUUUGUUUUUUUUUUUAAUCCUUCCAGCUGCUCUGCCUUUUUAGGGAAUUCAACCCAUUUAUAUUUAGAAUUAUUGAUAGGUAAGGACUUACUAAUGCCAUCUUAUUAAUUGGUUCCCAGUUGUUUCAUAUUUCCAUUUUUUCUUUUUCCCUCUGUUUCUGCAUACCUUUGUAAAUUGGUGACCUUUCAUGGUGGUAUGUUUUCUUUCCCCCUUUCUGUAUCUUUUGUGAAUCUAUUCUAGGCUUUUGCUUUGUGGUUACCAUGAGGCUUACAUAAAAUGUCUCAUAGGUAAAAUAGUCCAUUUUAAGCUGAUAGCAACUGAACUUCAAUUGCCUAAAAAGCUUCAUCCUUUUGCUUUUCCUUUCAUAUUUUGAAGUCAUUAUUUACUCUUUAUAAUGUUUAUUAACAAAUUAUAGUAGCUAUCAUUUUUAGUACUCUUCCCCUUUAAGCUUUAUUCUAUAGUUAAGUGGUUAACAAAUACCCUAUUACAGAAUUAGAGUUUUCUGACUGUAUAUACAUACACUGCAUAUACAUCUUUACCAGUGUGUUUUCCUGUGUCUUCAUGUUGCUGAUUAGUGUCUUUUCAGCUUGAAGAACUCCGCUCAGGAGUUUUACUCUUUACUGCAAGGCUAGACUAGUGGUGAUGAACUCCCUCAGUUUUUGUGUGUGAAAAUAUUUCUCCUUCAUACCUGAGGUAUAACUUUGCCAGAUAGAGUGUUCUUGGCUGGUAAUUUUUUUCUUUCAACACUUUGAUUCCACUCUUUCCUGACCUAUAGUUCUGCUGAGAAAUCUGCUCAUAGCCUAACAGGUGUUUCUCUGUAGGUUACAGGCUUUUUCCCCUGGCUGCUUUUAGGAUUCUCUCUUUAUCUUUGCUUUUUAACAGUUUUAUUAUAAUGUGUCUUAGAGAAGGUCUUUUUGCUUUAAGAUCCUAGCGUGUCCUGUUAGCUUCAUGAACUUGGAUGUCCAAAUCUCUCCCCAUUUUUGGGAAGUUCUUGACCAUUAUUUCUUUUAUUUUCUGCCCCCUUCUACAUCUCUUCUCCUCUGGAACCCCAGUUAUUCUAAUAUUUGUUCUUUUGAUGGAAUCCUAUUAAUCACACAGGCUUUCUUCAUUUUUUAUUCAUUUUUUUUCUACACGGUGUUAUUUCAAAAUUCCUGUCCUCUAAAUCACUUAUUCUAUCAUCUUCCAUUUGCUUUUAUUCUGCUGCAGAUGCUCUCUGUUGCAUUUUUUUUCACUUCAUUCCUGGAAUUUUUCACCUUCAGAAUUUCUUUUUGGUUCCUUAUGAUUUUUAUCCCUUGGGUAAAUAACUCAUUUUGCUCAUGUAUUUUUUUCCCCCUGAUGAUUACAUUGAAUUGUCUGAGUUUUCUUGUAGUUCAUUGUGUUUCUUCAGAACAGCUAUUUUGAAUUAUCAGAUCACAAAAUUCCAUACUUUUGAGAGCAUGGUUAUUGGAAAAUUAUUUUCUUUUGGUGAUGAUGUGUUUCCUUGAUUUUUCCUGUUCCUGUAUUUUGGCUUGCUCCUUUCACAUUUGAAGUAGCUGACAUCUCCUUAAAUCUUUACCAGUUGCCUUCAGAUGGGGUAUACUAUUCAUUGGUGCUGUUAUAUUUGGGGUUUUCUCUGCUUUUGUAUAGAUAUACCUGGAUACAUACACUCUUCUUGUCCCUCUUAUGGAAGAAUUCUUAAGCUUUUGUGGCUUCCCUGGUUCUUAGCACUCACCAGUGCCCACUAGAAUCCUCUCAUUUUCCAGAAGGUGGUGCUAUAGCUCAAGUUUGUGGUUUCUCCCUAGCCCACCUAACCUGGUCUUUCUGAUGGUGUUUACUCAACUUACUGUUGCAUUUGCACUCCAGCAUGUACAAGGAGCUGACUGCAGGGUUGGUGGAGAUGUUGGGUUAGCCCUUGGGGUAUUGGAGGUGCCCGUGGACCUGACCCAGUGGGGUGAAACUUGGGUGAAUCAUGCCCAGAGGCUUGUGGGCAGACUUCCUGAGCACUGUCAGCAGGAACUACAUUCCUUUAAUGUCCUUUGAUAUUCUUAUUUGGCUCUUUCCCAGACCACCCUAGCCCCAGUUAUAAAGGUCCCUCACCACUGGGGUAGCCAGGCACUCACUGCUUUCCUUUCCCCCAUGAGAGGAGUUACCACUGCUGGGUAGUUCAGCCCUGUGCAGUGUUGCUUUGUGAAAGUUCCUCUUAUAGGCCUAACUGAACCAAACUUGUGUUUUUUGCUCCCAUGUUGUGCUGGAAUCUCCUCUUGGGAAGUCUGGAUUUUUGUGAAUUCUUUGUCAUCCAUUCAUAUCCACCUAGGACAGCACUCUCCAGGUUUGUGCCUUAUUGCAGCAAGAAGUUUUGAGGCAGUUUUGCUGGUCCUACAGCCUGUAACAAGGUCUGCCUGCCUCUUACUGGAUGUGCAGGUGGGCAAGACUCCUCCCAGGUCCCUUGGCAGAUGGUGCUCAUUUCUACAACUCCCACAACAGUGCUUUUGUUCACGGAUGCAUGUCUAAUAAUUCAUUGUUAAAAAAGGACAAAAAGAACAUUUUACACUAUGAUCCUGAUCAACUGAGUAGUUUUUAAGAUAGUUCUAUUAUCCCUAAUCUUUCAAUGCAAAUAAAAUCAAUUAUCACAAACUAUUUCAUGAUCCCUUAGAGUAUUCUCGGAACUGCUUUUUAGUAUUGAUAGAUGCAUCACAAAGUUGUGCAUGUUUGAGAGCAAAGAGCUGAUAUUUCAGUAGUUCAUUGUAAACAGUACUUUCUGUGAAUGAUAAUAGUACAACAUAUUUUAUAACUAGAGGACCAUCCCAGGAGCCACUGUAACACUAGUUAUUUUCAAGGAAAUUAACUGGAAUAAAAGAAAGGCUACAAAAGAAUUUUUGUCCUGUUUUCUUAAAGUGGUAGACUGGAUCAAGAUGGCAGACAGAACCACCUACUAUCCCUCUCAAUGUGAAAUCCUAUAUAAAGUGCUAAAGCAGAAGAAAAAUAAGAAAAUCUGCUACAGCACUGAAAAAUAGGAGCUAGCAAAAGUAGACAUUUUGAAAAAUGCCAGAAACGUCAAAAGCAGAUGGAAUCGGGAAUGGUCAACAUGGUGGCCGCCAUAAGGUGCCUCAGUAGAGUUUUGAUACAUCAUCAAAAGUAUAGUCUUUCCAAGACGGCUUAUCAGACACCUCUUUAUCCUUGUUCCGUGUAUGUUCAGGUGCCCAGCAGACAUUUUGCUGCUGCUGCAAAGCCUGCAAAGAAAAAAAAAAAGGUGUGAAAGACAAAGCAUCAGAUGAGAAAAAAGAUGAAAUAGAAAAAUAGUUCUACUCCUUUAUGGAAAGCAAACCUGAGGAUGAUGUCUACUUAAAGCACUUAUAUCCAAGGCAGAUAUAGGAGGUGGAGAAACUAUUCAGUUACUUAAGAAAUUUUAAACUCUAGGGUUUACUAAUCUACAGUAAGGUGUUUAUCUUGAUUUGACACUGGAUGUGGCACUGGGGAAGAAAAAAAAGUGGAGCCAUUUGCCAGUGUUGUUUUCCAUACCCAUUCGUUUCAGAAAUCAGUUAAGUUGCUGUAUUUACAAGGAAUGCAUCAGAGAUUAAAAUAGCAGAAGAAAGUGGAGCUGCAUUUGCAGGAGGAAUUAUUAAUCUAAUUUGGAAGAUUUUGGAUGAUGAAAUUCAAUCAGACUUUUAUGUAGCUGUUCCAGAAAUAAUGCCCGAGCUUAAUCCAUUAAAGAAAAAGCUGAAAAAAAAAUUUCCAAAACUAACUGGAAAUUCCAUUGGCCGUGACAUACCCAAAAUGCUUGAAUUAUUUAAAAUUAGACAUGAAAUUAAAGUAGACGAAGAAAGGGAGAACUUUCUCGAGACCAAAACAGCAGCACUGGAUACGCUAAGUGACCAGAUAGCUGCGAAUCUGCCAGCAGUUAUCAGUGAAGUUUGUAAGCACAGACCACUCAGUUUGGGACCUUUUGUGGGACCUUUCGUGGUACGAGCUUUCCUUCAUACUUCAACAAGUGAAGGUUUGUUACUAAAGAUCAAGCCAUUGUUGUCUAAAGAAGUAGAAACCACAGAAAGUAACAAAGAAGAUGCCUAGGGGCGCCUGGGUGGUUCAGUCGUUAAGCG